CAGUAGCCACGGUAAUACGAAGGGGGCUAGCGUUGCUCGGAAUUACUGGGCGUAAAGGGAGCGUAGGCGGACAUUUAAGUCAGGGGUGAAAUCCCGGGGCUCAACCUCGGAAUUGCCUUUGAUACUGGGUGUCUUGAGUAUGAGAGAGGUAUGUGGAACUCCGAGUGUAGAGGUGAAAUUCGUAGAUAUUCGGAAGAACACCAGUGGCGAAGGCGACAUACUGGCUCAUUACUGACGCUGAGGCUCGAAAGCGUGGGGAGCAAACAGGAUUAGAUACCCCCGUAGUCCCUGUCUCUUAUAA
rnacentral:rRNA from 1 species